UACGUAGGGUGCAAGCGUUGUCCGGAAUUACUGGGCGUAAAGAGCUCGUAGGUGGUUUGUCGCGUUGUUCGUGAAAACUCACAGCUUAACUGUGGGCGUGCGGGCGAUACGGGCAGACUUGAGUACUGCAGGGGAGACUGGAAUUCCUGGUGUAGCGGUGGAAUGCGCAGAUAUCAGGAGGAACACCCGGUGGCGAAGGCGGGGUCUCUGGGCAGUAACUGACGCUGGAGGAGCGAAAGCGUGGGGAGCGAACAGG
rnacentral:rRNA from 1 species